CUGGGUACUACUAGCGCAACGUUAAAACCCAAAGGACUUGGCGGUGCUUCAGACCCCCCUGAGGAGCCUGUUCUAGACCGUGUCCCCGUUCAACCUCACCAUUUCUUGUUUUCCCCGCCUAUAUACCGCCGUCGUCAGCUUACCCUUUGAAGGCCUCAUAGUAAAAUUAGUAAAACUCAAGACGUCAGGUCGAGGCUGUACGUAUGANNNUGGGAAGAAAAGGGCUACAUUCUCUAUGGUAGAGUAAAACGAAAGAUGCAAUGAAAUGNNCAGAACAACCGCCA
rnacentral:rRNA from 1 species